UCAAACUUGGUCAUUUAGAGGAAGUAAAAGUCGUAACAAGGUCUCCGUUGGUGAACCAGCGGAGGGAUCAUUACCGAGUUUACAACUCCCAAACCCACUGUGAACAUACCUCUAUGUUGCUUCGGCGGUGUCGCCCCAGGUGCUGUAAGCCCUGGAACCAGGCGCCCGCCGGAGGUACCAAACUCUUUGUUUAUGAACAGUAUCUCUGAGUGGCGCAAGCCAACAAAACAAAUAAAUCAAAACUUUCAACAACGGAUCUCUUGGUUCUGGCAUCGAUGAAGAACGCAGC
rnacentral:misc_RNA from 1 species